ACCACUUUAAUUUGAUGGAUAUCGUAUGCAAUAAAUAUAUUUAAAUAUGGCAUUUUAAGGGUAUAUAAAUCCAGUUUAAAAUUUUAAAUAAUACAAGCAAUUGUGAUCUAGAUAGUUUAUUAAUUUAGGUUUAUUAGGUGCCAGCAACCGCGGUCAAACCUAAUAAAUAAGCUUACAAGCCCGUUAAAUAAUUAAUUAUUCUUUAAUAUUAUAUAAUAAAUAGUGAAAUAUUAUUAUAAAUAUUAGCUCUAAAUUGAAAAAGACUAAAGAGACUCAUAAGUAAAACUAGGAUUAGAGACCCUACUAUUAUGAAACCAAAUAAUUAUUUAUCAAGGAGUAAAAUUAUAUAAUUUAAACUUAAAAAUUAUGGCGGCCACAUAAAACACUUAGGGGAACUUACCAUAUAAUUGAUAACCACCAAGCAUAAUCAUACUUAUAUUUAAUAAUUUGUAUACCGUUGUCUUCAUGAGCCCUUUGAAAGGGCUCAUAAAAAUUAAUUAAAUUUUAAGACAAAUCAAGGUGCAGUCUAUUUAUAAGUAAUAAGGUGAGUUACAAUAAUAAAUAUUUUCGGAAUAUUAAAUGAAAAAGUUUAUAAAGACGGACUUAAAUGUAAUAUGUAAGUAUAAAUAAAAUAUGAAUACGUUUCGUUUGGUGUA
rnacentral:rRNA from 1 species